rnacentral:rRNA from 1 species
AACGAACGCUGGCGGCAGGCCUAACACAUGCAAGUCGAACGCCCUAGCAAUAGGGAGUGGCGCACGGGUGCGUAACGCGUGGGAAUAUGCCCUUCACUGCGGAAUAACGUUUGGAAACGAACGCUAAUACCGCAUAAUGACUCCGGUCCAAAGAUUUAUCGGUGAAGGAUUAGCCCGCGUUAGAUUAGCUAGUUGGUGAGGUAAUGGCUCACCAAGGCGACGAUCUAUAGCUGGUCUGAGAGGAUGAUCAGCCACACUGGGACUGAGACACGGCCCAGACUCCUACGGGAGGCAGCAGUGAGGAAUAUUGGACAAUGGGCGCAAGCCUGAUCCAGCCAUGCCGCGUGAGUGAAGAAGGCCUUCGGGUUGUAAAGCUCUUUCUAGAUGUGAAGAUAAUGACGGUAGCAUCAGAAGAAGCCCCGGCUAAAUUCGUGCCAGCAGCCGCGGUAAU